CUGGGGUGGCAAAUACAUGGCUGCCAAGCUGGGGAAUUAAAAAAAAAUGGAGAAAUUAGGAAACUGUUGCCAGAUGGACAGCAGUUCCAGCUGCCAAGUGGAGGCCAGAGGAUGGCAUGGUCCCUGGCUCACCAGGUUGUUGAGGGCCCUCCCUGGUUCUUGGAGGGGAAGGAGAGAAAGCUUUUACAAAACAUGCCAGUGUCUGUGCUUUCCAGGCUUUUAUCCCCAGCCUAAAGAGUUUUCUGCCUCAGCCCAUGUGGCCCACUGCAGCCUCAGCAAAAUACUUCCCUCACCUCUCCUCAUUUUACUUUUCUUUUCUUUUUUUUUUUUUUUUUUUUCACAGAAGGUGCCUGGAGAAUGCUUCCCAACAGCGUCUUACCUCCGAGCACUCUGGCACCAAAACAUCUUUGGAGGAGAUGCAAAACCAGCCUGUCUGAUAUUCCAUGCCCACACUGAAAGAAAAAGGAAAAAGUGGAGAAGCAUAAGAGGUGACAGACACUGUGACUCGCAGCUAUGCUGGCCGUGGUUACAGCUGUUUGCGUCUUUAUUGUCUUUUCACAUGGCAGUGCCCGCUUGUGGAGAUGAUGGCUGUAAACCAAGUGUGAGCCUGCAGCCUUGGCAGCAGUUACAUUGAAAUUGGAAUUAAAAAGCCUCUGGGGAAAAGGCAAGAAAUAACGAUCAAGGAAGAAUCAAUUAUACAAAGACCAGUUUGUGUGUUUGGAGAUGGACUAUGUCUAUACUGGUCAUGGUCCACAUCUGAAACUUUGGCUGUUGUUGAGAGAAUUUCCUGACCUUUUCCUGCUGUGUCCAAGGAUGAGCAUGGCUAGGCUUACCACUUAUUUGGAUGAUUCAUGCACG
rnacentral:lncRNA from 1 species